GCUUCGGUAGUUUAAUGGUAGAACACGGCCCUGAAGAGGUUGUUGCGACAGUUCGAGUCUGUCCCAGAGCG
rnacentral:tRNA from 1 species